rnacentral:rRNA from 1 species
CCUACGUGAGGCAGCAGUGAGGAAUAUUGGUCAAUGGGCGAGAGCCUGAACCAGCCAAGUCGCGUGAAGGAUGACGGCCCUACGGGUUGUAAACUUCUUUUGUCAGGGAGCAAUUGGGUCCACGCGUGGGCUUAGCGAGAGUACCUGAAGAAAAAGCAUCGGCUAACUCCGUCCAAGCAGCCCCGGUAAUACGGAGGAUGCGAGCUUUAUCCGGAUUUUUUGGGUUUAAAGGGUGCGUAGGUGGAAUAUCAAGUCAGUGGUAAAAAUUCGGGGUUCAACCCAGUCGUGCCGUUGAAACUGAUGUUCUUGAGUGGGCGAGAGGUAUGCGGAAUGCGUGGUGUAGCGGUGAAAUGCAUAGAUAUCACGCAGAACUCCGAUUGCGAAGGCAGCAUACCGGCGCCCAACUGACGCUGAAGCACGAAAGCGUGGGUAUCGAACAGGAUUAGAUACCCCAGUAGUC